GUCAUAUAGGCCGAAGUACAUGAUUCCAUGCUUCCAAGAAAAGCAUCUAGAGAGAGAAGUAGUGCCCGUACCGCAAACCGACACAGGUAGAUGAGGAGAGUAUCCUAAGGCCGGCGGAAGAAUUGCAGUUAAGGAACUAGGCAAAUUGACCCCGUAAGUUCGCGAGAAGGGGUGCCUGCGAGAGCAGGCCGCAGAGAAUAGGCCCAAGCAACUGUUUAGCAAAAACACAGGUCUCUGCUAAAGCGUAAGCUGAUGUAUAGGGGCUGACGCCUGCCCGGUGCUGGAAGGUUAAGGGGAACACUUAGCGCAAGCGAAGGUGUGAACUUAAGCCCCAGUAAACGGCGGCCGUAACUAUAACGGUCCUAAGGUAGCGAAAUUCCUUGUCAGGUAAGUUCUGACCCGCACGAAUGGCGUAAUGACUUGGGCACUGUCUCAACUGCAAAUCCGGCGAAGUUGUAGUGCGAGUGAAGAUGCUCGCUACCCGCGAUUGGACGGAAAGACCCCGUAGAGCUUUACUGUAGCUUAGCAUUGAAUUCCGGUAUUGUCUGUACAGGAUAGGUGGGAGACUGGGAAACUAGGGCGUCAGCCUUAGUGGAGUCAACCUUGGGAUACCACCCUGACAGUACUGGGGUUCUAACAGGACGCCAUGAAUCCGGUGACUGGACAUUGUUAGGUGGGCAGUUUGACUGGGGCGGUCGCCUCCUAAAAAGUAACGGAGGCGCCCAAAGGUUCCCUCAGAACGGUCGGAAAUCGUUCGUAGAGUGCAAAGGCAGAAGGGAGCCUGACUGCGAGACAUACAAGUCGAGCAGGGACGAAAGUCGGGCUUAGUGAUCCGGUGGUACCUCGUGGGAGGGCCAUCGCUCAACGGAUAAAAGCUACCUCGGGGAUAACAGGCUGAUCUCCCCCAAGAGUCCACAUCGACGGGGAGGUUUGGCACCUCGAUGUCGGCUCGUCGCAUCCUGGGGCUGUAGUAGGUCCCAAGGGUUGGGCUGUUCGCCCAUUAAAGCGGCACGCGAGCUGGGUUCAGAACGUCGUGAGACAGUUCGGUCCCUAUCCGUCGCGGGCGUAGGAAAUUUGAGAGGAGCUGUCCUUAGUACGAGAGGACCGGGAUGGACUGACCUCUGGUGCACCAGUUGUUCCGCCAGGAGCAUGGCUGGGUAGCUAAGUCGGGAAGGGAUAAACGCUGAAAGCAUCUAAGCGUGAAGCCUCCCUCAAGAUGAGAUUUCCCAUAGCAUAAGCUAGUAAGACCCCUUGAAGAACACAAGGUUGAUAGGUCAGAGGUGUAAGUGCGGUAACGUAUUUAGCUGACUGAUACUAAUAGGUCGAGGGCUUGACC
rnacentral:rRNA from 1 species